rfam:Enterococcus faecalis V583, complete genome.
UUCUAAAUGGUAUAAUAAAAGUGUAGAGAAGUUAUGGCGGUGGCUAUCCAAUCUGAAAGGUGGUGGUGCUUAUGAAUGUAAGUACUAAAAUCUAUGAAAGGAGAGGCCUUUUGUCUAUCGCAGAAGCUUUAGCUCUGAUGAUUAGUUUCGGUUCUUUUAUCGCGACUUUAAUCUUCGGAAUCCUAA